ACGCGUAAGAAUCUGCCCCUCAGUCGGGGACAACCCUUGGAAACGAGGGCUAAUACCCGAUAUGCUGUGGAGUGAAAGAAUUUCGCUGAGGGAUGAUCUUGCGUCUGAUUAGCUAGUUGGUGUGGUAAUGGCACACCAAGGCGACGAUCAGUAGCUGGUCUGAGAGGAUGAACAGCCACAUUGGAACUGAGACACGGUCCAAACUCCUACGGGAGGCAGCAGUGGGGAAUUUUCCGCAAUGGACGAAAGUCUGACGGAGCGACGCUGCGUGAAGGAUGACGGCCUGCGGGUUGUAAACUUCUUUUCUCGAAGAAGAAGCUCUGACGGUAUUCGAGGAAUAAGCAUCGGCUAACUCCGUGCCAGCAGCCGCGGUAAGACGGAGGAUGCAAGUGUUAUUCGGAAUGAUUGGGCGUAAAGAGUCUGUAGGCUGUAUGGAAAGUCUUUUGUUAAAUGCCUCGGCUCAACCGAGAUCCAGCAAAGGAAACUUCUAUACU
rnacentral:rRNA from 1 species